AUUGAACGCUGGCGGCAUGCCUAACACAUGCAAGUCGAACGGCAGCACAGCAGUAGCAAUACUGUGGGUGGCGAGUGGCGGACGGGUGAGGAAUACGUCGGAAUCUGCCCAGUCGUGGGGGAUAACUAGCCGAAAGGUUAGCUAAUACCGCAUACGACCGAGAGGUGAAAGCGGGGGACCGCAAGGCCUCGCGCGAUUGGAUGAGCCGACGUCGGAUUAGCUAGUUGGCGGGUAAAGGCCACCAAGGCGACGAUCCGUAGCUGGUCUGAGAGGAUGAUCAGCCACACUGGAACUGAGACACGGUCCAGACUCCUACGGGAGGCAGCAGUGGGGAAUAUUGGACAAUGGGCGCAAGCCUGAUCCAGCAAUGCCGCGUGUGUGAAG
rnacentral:rRNA from 1 species